rnacentral:tRNA from 1 species
GCUUUCCUGUGGCUCAGUUGGUAGAGCAUUGCGCUAACAACGCAAAGGUUGUGGGUUCAAAUCCGAGGGAAAGCA